CGCUCCGCCGGCACCGCCGGUGCGGCUGCUGCCCCGCGGCUGCGGUUUCUGCCGCGGGACAGAGAUCGCCCCGGGCGGCUCCGGCCGCCCCGCUCCGCCGCCGCCGCGAGCGCUGCGUCAUCUGCCCGGCCCGGCGCUGCUGCCCGCGGGAAAGCCGCGCUGCCAAGGCCGAGCGGCGCCAGCGACAGCACCGUGCCCGCCGGCAGAGAAAUAAAAGCAGCUGGGGAAAGCAAGCACCGCGCCCUUCUUUAUUUCCUCUGCCACCAGUCCUUUAGGCGCUGAACCCGCCUUCUGAGCCAGCCGAACCGUGGCCCUGCCCGCCGGCGGCACAGACAGGGCACGGCCGCUCUUGACGCGGGCCCCGAUCGUCUCCCGUGAGCGGGGCCGGCGUCCCUUUGGCGCACAAGGCGAGGCGCAGCCCCCACGGGAAGGACUGUCUGCAGGGUGCACGGACGGCCCUGCCCAGUGAAGUUCGUGCUCCGUCAGGCGCCGCCGGUGGUUUCGCGCACUCUGCUUGCUGCAGCUCCCGGGAAAGCCAACCCUCUCCGUUCCAGGCGGGAGAGGAGCUUUCCCCUGGAUCGAGGGCCACCUCCGAGAUUCUCGCUGCCAAGAAUCUUGGGUUUCGCCGAACUCAUGGGCACCAAAUGGCAUAGGUACAACUUUGAAGGCCAUGGGGACUGUGGGCCCAUCAUUUCAGCUCCAGCCCAGGAUGAUCCCAUCCUGCUCAGCUUCAUCCCCUGCCUGCAGGCCAACCUGCUGUGCGUGUGGCACUGGGACAUCAAACCCGACUGCGAGGAGCUCUGGAUAUUCUGGCGGGGGGACGAGCCCAACCUGGUCGGUGUCAUCCACCGCAAGCUGCACAUGGUGUUGUCUCCACAUGAACAGGGAAUCUUAGCGUUCAGAGCAGGAUCCAGUGAGUACAUGUGGCAUUUAUGAAUUCAUUACCAAUUCUAGUCAAGAAAUGGACGUAACUGAUCCGUGUGGGUCCAUUCCAGCUCAGGAUAUUCCAUGGAUCAUUCUCACAUGGUGUGUUUUCCCUCUUCUUACAGCUGGCAAUAUCUAAAGCUAAAAAGUCUGGUCUUUAUUAAAAAGUCUGAAAUCUACCAAAGGGC